rnacentral:lncRNA from 12 species
UCAUAAUAGCCCUGUUGGUAUGUUGAGCACUGGUCAGGACAGUGAUUUAGUGAGGAAGUAGUUUCUCUACUGAUUUGUUGUUCGUGAGUGUACAAGUGAACUAGUUUGAUUCUUCGUUAUUGUUAGCCGACUCUCUGAGCUGAGUUUCAGGGAGAAAGGUACUGAUUGGAGUCACUCUCUGAAGAGGUGAACCAUGAAGCAGAAACGAAAAAGGAAGCAUCUAGAAAGGACAAGUUCCCCCCAAACUGUCAAGAGGUCAAAAGCAAGUACUAACGUAGAAGAAGUUCUACAGCAUGAACAAAGCGCAGUGGCCUCAACUUCAGGCCAGACAGAAAAGGACUCUUCUUCCUCUUCAGAAUGCUUCAGCACCUCCUCCCAAGAAAAGCUCACUGGUGCUGGAAUCUUAAAAUCAAGCAAAUGUGAUCCACCACCUGGCCACUCUUUGGAAGACAAUACUGCGGUCCCUGAGGCAAAAGAAAUCUUAAAGAAGCAAAAGGAUACUCCACAGCCUGGUGAGAGUACCUCACAGGAAGAACACAGUGCCGUUGUCUCAAGUGACCUCCCCUGUGCCUCUGACAAUAAGAAUACGGGAGAUGUUCAUUGCAUCUAUAUAAAACAAAGCCUGGAGAUUCAAGGGGAAUCUCAGAGAGGACAAAUAUCCAUAAGUGCAGGGCCAUGUUUGCAAAGGUGGAGUCUAAAGAAAUGUCAGAUCUCUCUGAGAAAUGGAAAUAUAAACUCAGUCUGAACUUGAGAAGAUGAAUUCUGUUGGUCAUAGUGUGGGCAAAUCUCUGACAGCUGGUGUGAAAUGGGCCAGCAAAGAACAGAUAGGGCAUCCAAGAAGGAACCAGUAGAUUUUGCUUUUUCUCUAAGAGAGGACUGAACUCCUUAGCAUAUGUCCUUUCAUGGGGGAAGAAGGGGCAGAGAUUUGAAAGAGACCCUUCGAUUCUUCUCCAACAACCUCCUAACCCUCAUGAGCACACAGGAAUAUUUAUUCCAUCACAUACUCUACUAGGCUUAGCACAGAGUCCUCUCACAGUUACCCCUAUUGACACUUGUCUCUUCAUUUCCCAUUCUCUGGUCCCAUUUCUUUCUUUUUUCUUUUCUUUUUUUUUUGUUAAGGAUCUUAAUCAUUUAUUCACAAGAAACACAUAUAGAGAGAGGCAGAGACAUAGGCAGAGGGAGGAGCAGGCUCCCUCAGGGAACCCAACGUGGGACUCAAUCCCGGGAAGCCAGGCUCAUGCCCCGAGCCAAAGGCAGGUGCUCAACCACUGAGCCACCCAGGCAUCCCUCUGCUCCCAUUUCCUUAUACUCUCAGACAGACUCAUAAAUUCAUUUUUUUUUUUUUUUUUUUUUUUUUUUUUAAAGAUUUUAUUUAUUUAUUCAUGAUAGUCACACAGAGAGAGACAGAGAGGCAGAGACACAGGCAGAGGGAGAAGCAGGCUCCAUGCACCGGGAGCCCGACGUGGGAUUCGAUCCCGGGUCUCCAGGAUCGCGCCCUGGGCCAAAGGCAGGCGCCAAACCGCUGCGCCACCCAGGGAUCCCCAGACUCAUAAAUUCAGAUCCUCAUAUCCUGAACCUUCACAACUCAUUUUGCAGCAUAUGUAUUCCUCAAGUUUGCUUUCUCUAAUGUCAUUCCUUAGAUACUAUCAUCUCAAACUCACACAAAUAAUCUCACUCUUGUAGAACUUCAUAUUUCACAUUAACAGUGAACAAAGCCACACAAUCAUAUAACAUCGUGUAAAACUCCUCUCUCCCAGGUCGCUUAGGCCCCUCAUGUAAUUCCACAAUCUAGGACCUCGUGUGAGGUCUUGCCUCUAUCCUUGCCUCUAUCCUAGCACUUUCACAAUCUCAACAGAUCUCACAAAAUUACACACGUCCAUAUCCCUCUCAUAAAUCAAAUAGACAGUAUGUCACAACUUGAACCUCAGUAGUACAUGACACCCAGAUCACUCAUACCACCUUUACAUAUACGGGAUUAUGCUGUACCAUCCGCUAAUAUAUGAUGCUCAUGCUACCUUUACGUAGAAUGGCCAUGGCACCCGUACGCCUCCUACAUAAAAUUGUUGAAGAAACAUGACAGACACGUACACAAUCAGACAGUACUCACCGAACACGGUACACAUACUACGUCUCUAAAAAAUAAUCCACCCCCCACUGACUUGUCUCAUGCCUACAACAUGACCUACCAGAUACUCUUCAGUGACCUAAGAGACAAAGUAGGUGCAUUUUGUGAAGUUAAAUUUGGGUACAAGCUUCAAAAAACUUUUUAAACAUAGGAAGAGACUUAAUAUGUUUGAGUUAUUUUAUCAGGAACAGAAAUUUACCUAUUUACUGAGCGUUGAGUUUGGAAAUGUAGAUUAAGAGGAAGAAAAACUAACUGGCGAUUUUCGGGAUGUGUUGAAGUUCAUGAUAGAGGUAAAACCCGAUCCCAAAAAUAUACAUAUUUUACUAGGAAAACAAUAAACAACUUAGAAUUUAGCUGUUUAGUGGGAAA